UCAAACUUGGUCAUUUAGAGGAAGUAAAAGUCGUAACAAGGUUUCCGUAGGUGAACCUGCGGAAGGAUCAUUAUUGAAUAAACUGCCUUGAUGGGUUGUAGCUGGCCUCUCUCUCUGAGAGACAUGUGCACGCCUGUCUUGACUCUAUUCAUCCACCUGUGCACUUAUUGUAGUUCCUUAUUCUCUGGAUUUGAGGAUUGCCUUCUGGCUUUCUUCUGGCUAGCCUUUGUGCUUGAUAUCAGAGACCAAAGGGGCUAUGUUUAUUAUUCAUAAACCAAGUAUGUUGUCAGAAUGUAUUCAAUGGGCCUCUGUGCCUAUAAAAAUCUAUACAACUUUCAGCAACGGAUCUCUUGGCUCUCGCAUCGAUGAAGAACGCAGC
rnacentral:misc_RNA from 1 species